rnacentral:rRNA from 1 species
CCUACUGGAGGCAGCAGUGAGGACUAUUGGUCAAUGGCCGGAAGGCUGAACCAGCCAAGCCGCGUGAAGGACGAAGGUGCCAAGCAUUGUAAACUUCUUUUGUCAAGGGACAAAAUCAGGCUCGAGCGCCUGACCGAGGGUACUUGAAGAAAAAGCAUCGGCUAACCCCGUGCCAGCAGCCGCGGUACUACGGAGGAUGCGAGCGUUACCCGGAUUUAUGGGGUUUAAAGGGUGCGUAGGCGGGCUGUUAAGUCAGCGGUAAAACCCCGGGGCUAAACCCCGGCGAGCCGUUGAAACUGGCGGUCUUGAGAUGGCGAGAGGUAGGCGGAAUGCGCAGUGUAGCGGUGAAAUGCUUAGAUAUUGCGCAGAACUCCGAUUGCGAAGGCAGCAUACCGGCGGCGAUCUGACGCUGAGGCACGAAAGCGUGGGUAUCGAACAGGAUUAGAUACCCCUGUAGUC